rnacentral:rRNA from 1 species
AUUGAACGCUGGCGGCAGGCCUAACACAUGCAAGUCGAGCGAGCGGCGGACGGGUGAGUAAUGUAUGGGGACUGCCCGAUCGAGGGGGAUAACUACUGGAAACGGUGGCUAAUACCGCAUACUAUCGGAUAACCCAUAUGGGAUUAGCUAGUAGGUGGGGUAAAGGCUCACCGAGGCGACGAUCGCUCGCUGGGCUGAGAGGAUGAUCAGCCACACUGGGAUGGAGACACGGACCAGACUCCUACGGAGGCAGCAGUGGGGAAUAUUGCACAAUGGGCGCAAGCCUGAUGCAGCCAUGCCGAGUGUAUGAAGAAGGCCUUAGGGUUGUAAAGUACUUUCAGCGGGGAGGCGUUACCCGCAGAAGAAGCACCGGCUAACUCCGUGCCAGCAGCCGCGGUAAUAC